AUGAGCUUCAUUCUGACCAGCUGGACUCUCAUGAAGAAACACUUUUUUAUCAAGAGGAAUUUAAUUAGGAGAGGGUACUGCUCAGUGGUAGAGUGCAUGCCUAGCAUGCACAAGGUCCUAUGUUCAGCCCCCAGUACCACCAUCACAAAUAUAUCAAUAAAUAAAAGCUAAAUGACC